CUGCUGCUGCUGGUGCUGCUUGUGUGCUCGUUGGGUGCGGACCUGGUGCCUCUUUUGUGAAGCGGCUUCUGAGGAGACUCCAGCGCUCGCCAUGGCCGACGCAAAGCCCAAGGAAGGAGUCAAGACUGAGAACAACGAUCAUAUUCAUUUGAAGGUGGCGGGGCAGGCUGGUUCUGUGGUGCAGUUUAAGAUCAAGAGGCACACACCACUUAGUAAACUAAUGAGAGCCUAUUGUGAACGACAGGGCUUGUCAAUGAGGCAGAUCAGAUUCCGAUUGGACGGGCAGCCAAUCAAUGAAACAGACACACCCGCACAGCUGGGAAUGAAGAAUGAAGAUACAAUUGACGUGUUCCAGCAGCAGACAGGAGGUGUCUACUAA